UACGGAGGGGGCUAGCGUUGUUCGGAAUUACUGGGCGUAAAGCGCGCGUAGGCGGCUUUGUAAGUCAGAGGUGAAAGCCUGGAGCUCAACUCCAGAACUGCCUUUGAAACUACAUCGCUAGAAUCAUGGAGAGGUUAGUGGAAUUCCGAGUGUAGAGGUGAAAUUCGUAGAUAUUCGCAAGAACACCAGUGGCGAAGGCGGCUCACUGGCCCGGUACUGACGCUGAGGUGCGAAAGCGUGGGGAGCAAACAGG
rnacentral:rRNA from 1 species